rnacentral:tRNA from 1 species
GGGAUCGUAGCUCAGCCUGGUUAAAGCGCUGGUCUUAUAAACCAGAGAUGGAGGGAUCGAAGCCCUCCGAUCCCA